UUAUAUCUGACAGAAUUAAACUGUCUCUAUAGACAUCAAAAAUCUAUGUGCAUCAUACACCAAAAUAUA
rnacentral:tRNA from 1 species